rnacentral:rRNA from 1 species
AUACGGAGGAUGCGAGCGUUAUCCGGAAUUACUGGGCGUAAAGGGCGCGCAGGCGGAUAUUUAAGUCAGCUGUAAAAGGCAUGAGCUCAACUCAUGUAUGCGGUUGAAACUGGGUAUCUAGAGUGCUGGAGAGGUAGGCGGAAUUCCCGGUGUAGCGGUGAAAGGCUUAGAUAUCGGGAAGAACACCAGUGGCGGACGCGGGUUAGUGGCCAGCGACAGACGCUGAGGCGCGAAAGCGGGGGGAGCGAACGGGAUUAGAUCCCCCGGUAGUCCGGGGAGUAAGCGAUGUAGGCUGGGUGUGAGACUAGCGAUAGUUUCGUGCCGAAGUUAACGCGAUAAGCAUUCCGCCUGGGGAGUACAGUCGCAAGAUUGAAACUCAAAGGAAUUGACGGGG